rnacentral:tRNA from 1 species
GGGGUCAUGGCUUACUGGCAGAGUGUCUGUUUUGCAUACAGAAGUUCCCAGGUUCAACCCCCGGCAUCUCUA